CAGGCCUUGGCCUCGGCGGCCGGCCCCCGCCCCCAGCCCCUAAUUGGCUCAUUUGCCGCCGUGUAAACAAGGGCGCAGCCCCUCCCCCUGUUUAGUGCCUGGCCUUUAAGAAAAAGAGUCCUCCCUUCUGCCGGCGGCACUCGUUAUCUGAAUCUUAAUGAGGUCAUUAGCAUCCCGUGCCUCUGACGGGGAGGGACGUGUUCGGCGCACACCUCGUUUGGGCUUGUUUGCAUCCCCUGGACCCCCGCGCCCGCCUCACUUUGCGCAGGGCCGCGGGCCCAAGGCUGUGGGCACCAGUGCCGUCAACCUAGAGCCCAGCUGCCGCCUCCCCCGCCUAGAGGCAAGGCUGCGAGGGGCGCCAGUUCAGGUGCGGAUAUCAGAGAUGGGGGAGCCCUUUGCGCAGGACCCCUUGGUCAGAGGAGGGUCAGUGAGAGCACAGAGCGGAGCUCUGGGACCAGAUCGAGGCGCCCAGCUGGCGGCACAGGCGACCUUCUGCCCUGAGCUCUUGAUCCCUCUGGGUCUCGCUGGCCUGGCUGCUUGCGGGAGGGGGUGGGGGUUGGGGGGCAGGCGUCGCCGCAGGUUGGAUGGUCGCAGGAGGGCAGGCGACCCGAGGGCUAACAGCUCUGCCCUCUGCUCCCUCCCCCCAGGGAACGGCAGGGGCAGNNNNNNNNNNNNNNNNNNNNNNCAAGACCGCUGGUGGUACAGGUACCUACCUUUGCCCGUCGCUCCAACGUGCUGACUGGACUCCAGGACUCCUCCGCAGACAACCGCUCUAAGCUGGAGCUGGGCGCUCAGGGCAAGGGCCAGGGCCACCAGUACGAGCUCAACAGCAAGAAGCACCAUCAGUACCAGCCGCACAGCAAGGAGCGAGCCGGCAAACCCCCACCGCCGGGCAAGAGCGGCAAGUACUACUACCAGCUCAACAGCAAGAAGCACCACCCCUACCAGCCCGACCCCAAGAUGUACGACCUGCAGUACCAGGGCGGCCACAAGGAGGCGCCCAGCCCCACUUGCCCGGACCUGGGCGCCAAGAGCCACCCGCCUGACAAGUGGGCCCACGGCGCGGGGGCCAAGGGCUACCUGGGAGCUGGGAAGCCCCUGGCCGGCGCGGCCGGGGCUCCAGGCAAGGGCUCCGAGAAGGGCCCUCCCAACGGGAUGACGCCGGCCCCCAAAGAGGCGGUGACGGGCAACGGGAUUGGGGGCAAGAUGAAGAUCGUCAAGAACAAGAACAAGAACGGACGCAUCGUGAUCGUGAUGAGCAAGUACAUGGAGAACGGCAUGCAGGCGGUGAAGAUCAAGUCCGGCGAGGCGGCCGAGGGCGAG
rnacentral:lncRNA from 1 species